GGACAGACGUGUUGAAAAAUGGACUAAAUGGGGCUGUGUGAGUUUCCCGGAGCUGCUAUAACAAAUAACCACAAUCUGCAUGGCUUCAAACAACUGAAAUUUACUACUCACUGUUCCAGAGUCCAGCAGUUUAAAAUCAAGGUGAUUGGCUGGGCACAGUGGCUCAGGCCUGUAAUCCCAGCACUUUGGGAGGCUGAGGCAGGCAGAUCACUUGAGGUCAGGAGUUCAAGACCAGCCUUGCCAACAUGAUGAAAUCCCAUCUCUACCAAAAAAUACAAAAAUUAGCUGGGCAUGGUGGCGAGCACCUGUAAUUCCAAAUACUCAGGAGGCUGAGGCACAAGUAUCACUUGAACCUGGAAGGCGGAGGUUGCAUUGAGCUGAGAUCACACCCCUGCACUCCAGCCUGGGCGACAGAGUGAGACUCCAUCUCAAAAUAAAUAAAUUAAUUAAUUAAAUAAAUUAAAUAAAAUCAAAGUGAUGGGCAGGCUCACUCCUCCAGGGGGCUCUGAGGGAGGAUUUGCCCAUCCUCUCUCCUGGCUUCUGGUGGUUCCCAGCCAUUCCUGGUGCUCCUUGGCCUGUAUGCACAUCACUCACCUCAGCAUCCAUCUUCUCAUGGCUUCCCCUCUGUGGGUCUUCUCCUCUUGUCCUCUGAGAAGGACACUUCUCAUUGGAUUGAGGGCCUACCUAGGUCAUCCAGGAAGUUCUUGUCUCAAGAUCCUUAACUCAAUUACAUCUGCAAAGGCCCUUUUUCCACAUAAGGUUACGUUCCUAGGUUGGGGGUAAAUGGAUCUUUUGGAGACCACCAUUCCACCCCCCUCAGGGGGCCAGGGUGGACAGGGGAGGAUCACUUAAGAGAUGCAUGGCAGUGGUGGCCUGGACUGGACAGGAGGAAGCAGAGUCAUGGGCAGGUUUGAGAGGUACCAGGAGGUGGAAUCCAAGCACUUCACCAGUGUUGACAUACACAGAAUUGAGGAAGAUGGAGAUGUUAAGGGUGUCUGUCAGGCAUUGGCUUAAGCAACUGGGUGGAUCAUGAUUUUUUAAAAAAUCUUUAUUUAUCCAAUUCUAUACCACAAAGCUUACCUGUCUCCCCAAACCCAAUUGCCCCAGUUCCUUGGGUUACCUCCAGGGCAAACCCAACUUCUUCAAACCAGGUCUGGUUCUCUACAGAACUCCAGGAAACAUGAGAAGCCCUUCAUGUGAUUGCUAAGUAAUUGCUUUUCAACUAUAAAAGUAAUUAAAAAAUGGCACCAAUUUCCCUAAGUGUAUAAUAUAAUUAAAUCCACUGGCUUGGAAAAUCAUUUGUGAUAAACCGAAACAGCAAAAGAUCAAGCCACUGGGAAUUAGGGAAACGUCUGACAUGAGGACAGAGAGCUCUCUGGGGCCUUUUCCUGGAGGGGCCUUGGUGGGCGUGGAAUGUGGCUGGGAAAGGCAGGGAGAGUGGAGGAUGGGAAAACCAGAUCCCCAGCUGGCUGGGACUGGAUAGGGAAGAGGCGGUGGGAAGCCACCUGCCAGGCCUUGGGCUGUGGGAUGGAGCUCAGGGCCCAGGCCAGGCGGGGUAGAAGUGUUGCCGGUGAGGGUCUUGACUGUAAGUUGCCCAGGUUCUUGGCGUUUUGAACAAAGAAUUGGACAAAAGCCCAGCAAAGCAAAGAAAGAAUGAAGCAACGAAAGAACCAAAGCAGGGAUUUAUUGAAAACAAAAGUACCCUCCACAGUGUGGGAGGGGCCCAACCAGCGGCUCAAGAGCCCAGAUACAGAAUCUUCUCAGAUCCAAAUACCCCCUACAGGUUUCCUAUUGGCCCCCUCAUGUAAAUGAAGUGGUGGCCCGCAAUCAGUGUGAUUGACUGCAGAAAACAACCAAUCAGAGGCUGAAGUGAAGUUACAAAAGUCACACUCCUCUGCAAACACCUGAUUGGCUGCAAAAAGCAACCAAUCAAAGGUUAAGAUGAAGUUACAAAGUUCCACUUCUAUGCAAAGGAAGACUCCGCUCUCAAUCAGUCUGAUUGGUUGCGGACAGCCAAUUUCCCAUCUGCCUGGAGGAAAAGGGAUUUGCAAAAGGAGUAGCCUCUGGUCCUUUUGUUACUUAGGCGUGGAAAGUUAGGGUUUUCUUUUGAGACGGAGUUUUGCUCUUGUCACCCAGGCUGGAGUGCAAUGGCAGGACCUCGGCUCACAGAAACCUCCGACUCCUGGGUUCAAGCUGUUCUCCUGCCUCAGCCUCCCAAGUAGCUGGGAUUACAGGCACCCACCACCAUGCCCAGCUAAUUUUUGUAUUUUUAGUAGAGACGGGGUUUCGCCAUGUUGGCCAGGCUAGUCUGGAACUCCUGACCUCAGGUGACCCACCCUCUUCGGCCUCCCAAAGUGCUGGGAUUACAGGCGUGAGCCACCACGCCUGGCCCGGGUUUUUCUUUCAAUUUAGUUCUAGGAAGUCGGCCUGAAAUUACCUUAGGUUUCCUGCCUCCAGACCCUAUUCUCUUGUCUCAGAAGCACUACCCCAGGAGGUCAAAGGCAGCUCAGACUCAGUCAAAAAGGCAGCUAAGGAAGCAGGAUGGACGGUGGGGCACAAGGAAUGAACAGAAUUGGUUGAAAUCAGUGUCAAGUUGGGCUGCGAAAUUCCGGACAGUUCAGGCAAGCCGUUCAAGACUAAGAUUCGGCCAAAAGGCAACAUUGGGAUGAAUUCACUCAACGGACAUUUGCUUAACUGUAGGAGAAGAGGGAAAAGGGGAAAUCAAAGACAUCUUUGAAGUGCCAAGCCAGGAAAGCUUAAAGUGCACUCAUUCCAAAAAAUUCAUCGAGUACCUCUUAGGGAAGCAGGGAAGAUGCCCAGGAAGGUUCCUUCUUGCUAGAAGCUUUGCAAAGGCCGCUGGCCACACCCACAACUGCUGGCUGAGAGGCCUGGUGGGCUCACAACUCAGGAAGACCCCACCCACCUGCCCGCCCCCACGAACAGCCCAGGAGCAGGACUGAGCUCAGCACAGUGGAGCUGAUUUACCUGCUGCAGCCUUUCUCCUCUGCCAGAGGUCUUCUGGGGCCACCAGAACCUGGCCAUGCUCACAGAGUGUCCAGCCCUCACUGAGCACAGGCCCUAGCAUGGACCAUGGGAAAAGAGAACUCAAAUAGAAAACUUGGGGUGAAACAUGCAUCUUGUAACGAGGAAGCAACCGUGUUAAUGGGUGCCAUGUACUGCAGAUGAUGGAACAGAAAGACACAGGGAGCCCGAGCCUCUGGGAGCACCACUGAGCUGCUAUGGCAGCCAGGUCUUCCCAUUUCUAGACUUCCUGUUAUAUGAAGAAACAAAAAUUUAGUUAAGGUCCUCCAGUAAUAUUUCUGUUGCAUGCAGUCAACCAUAGUCCCUAAUUCAGUGCACAAUGCCCAAGGUGCACAAAGGAGAAAGGAUAAAAGGACUUCUUAGGAACAUGAUCUUUGAGUUGAUCUUGACAAAUGAAUAGAGUCUAAGAUUUCCCAUGGGCGAAGGCACAGAGGGGCAGCCUCUUAUUCUCCCCGCCUGCCAGGGCUUCGAUACCUGAAUGUGCAGUCAUCGUGUGACACCCACCUUCCAGAACCUCUUACUUUUUCUUGGGCACCUGAAACUAAGAAUCUGGUCUUUGACCAACUAAAUCAAUCAUCACCUUCUCCCAUUCAACAUUCCAACCCCCAGGCUGGGCGCGGUGGGUCACGCCUGUAAUCCCAGCACUUUGGGAGGCCGAGGCGGGCAGAUCACCUGAGGUCAGGGGUUCAAGACCAGCCUGGUCAACAUGAUGAAACCCCAUUUCUACUAAAAAUACAAAAAAAUUAGCCAGGCGUGGUGUUAGGUGCCUGUAAUCCCAGCUACUCAAGAAGCUGAGGCAGGAGAAUCGCUUGAACGCAGAAGGUGGAGUUUGCAGUGAGCUGAGCCUGUGCCACUGCACUCCAGCCUGGGCAACAGAGUGGUAUAAGGAAGUGGGGCCUUUGGGGAAUUAUUAGCUCAUGAGGGUGGUGCUUUCAUGAGGAGGAUCAGUGCCCUUAUAAAAAAGACACUCCAGAGAGCUCCCUUGCCCCUUCUGCCAUGUGAGAACACAGUGAGAAGGUGCCAUCUAUAAACCAGGAAGUGAGCCCUCACCAGACACCAAAUCUUCCAGCACCUUGAUCUUGGACUUCCCAGCCUCCAGAACUGUGUGAAAUAAAUUUCUAUUGUUUAUAAGCCAUCCACUCUACAGUAUUUUUAUUAUAGCAGCCCACAUGGACUAAGACAGGAACCUUCUAGGAGCCUGGCUCUGGGCUCUGUGCCUCACAUUUAUCUCAUUUCACUCUUGCAACCACCCUGAGAUAAGGACAUUUGUCCCCACUUUGCAGGGGCAGAAGGAACUGAGGUGCAAAGAAAUUAGCAACCCAGCCAAGGUCACACAGCUAGUAAGUAAGGUAGGUUGGUGUGGAAUUCAGACCUGCCUGUGUACCUUCAAAGUAUGCUUGCACUCUAGUUCCCCAUUCUGCUAUCAGGAGCCUUGAAUUCAACAUCCAACCCAAACACCACCACCAUGUGUGGCUUAGAUAAAUUAAUUUCACCUCCUUGAGCCUCAGUUUGUCCAUGUCUAAGUUGAGAGAGUUCUGGGGGCUAAAUAGGAGGUCUCAAAGG
rnacentral:lncRNA from 1 species